GUGAGGAAUAUUGGGCAAUGGAGGCAACUCUGACCCAGCCAUGCCGCGUGCAGGAAGACGGUCCUAUGGAUUGUAAACUGCUUUUAUACGGGAAGAAACACCCCCUCGUGAGGGGACUUGACGGUACCGUAAGAAUAAGGAUCGGCUAACUCCGUGCCAGCAGCCGCGGUAAUACGGAGGAUCCAAGCGUUAUCCGGAAUCAUUGGGUUUAAAGGGUCCGUAGGCGGCCUUAUAAGUCAGUGGUGAAAUCUCCUAGCUCAACUAGGAAACUGCCAUUGAUACUGUAGGGCUUGAAUUAUUGUGAAGUAACUAGAAUAUGUAGUGUAGCGGUGAAAUGCUUAGAUAUUACAUGGAAUACCAAUUGCGAAGGCAGGUUACUAACAAUAUAUUGACGCUGAUGGACGAAAGCGUGGGUAGCGAACAGGAUUAGAAACCCGUGUAGUCC
rnacentral:rRNA from 1 species